rnacentral:snoRNA from 7 species
CUUGCUCCUAAAGGCAUUGCAGGUGUGACUGCUGGGUCACCUGUACGUCAGUGGGUGGCAGAGUAGAGAGAGGCUAUGUCUAUACUCAGUGUUCUGACCUUCGAGCAUCUGAAUGAUUAGUAGCCUAACACU